rnacentral:pre_miRNA from 1 species
UAUAUUAAAAUUUGUAUGGAAUAGGAUCGUUUGCCUACGUUUGUCGCUAGGGGCGCUGUUCCAACUGCAUACAAAAUUGGCUUA